rnacentral:lncRNA from 1 species
GUUUUCUAAAAACUUACCAAAAUAAAUACAAAACUUUAACAUUUUAUAAUGAUACAUAAAGUUAUUACAAACAAAAUUUAUAUAGGUUUAAAUUUGUUUUGUAAUUCAGCUUCUUUGUGACUAUGUAGUUUCACGGGGAAAUAACUCUUAACUAUAAACCUUUCGUACCAACGGUUACUUGCAACGGUUGCUUGAAAGCAUAAUCGAGUGCACACAACAUUGUUUCCUAUCAAUACAAGAAGUAACCACAUGAAAUUAGUCCCAAAUUACAGCUAAAAAUUCUCAAAACAGUUCUGCAUAUGAUUCCUAAAACAUUCGUUGAUAUUAAGUGUAUACAUCAAUAAUUUCCAAAAGUUAAAUGACGGCUCCCACUUCGUACUACGGUUGGUACGGUAGCAAAUCGGGAAACCUCUGCUA